rnacentral:rRNA from 1 species
UACGGAGGGAGCUAGCGUUGUUCGGAAUUACUGGGCGUAAAGCGCACGUAGGCGGCGAUUCAAGUCAGAGGUGAAAGCCCGGGGCUCAACCCCGGAACUGCCUUUGAAACUAGAUUGCUAGAAUCUUGGAGAGGCGAGUGGAAUUCCGAGUGUAGAGGUGAAAUUCGUAGAUAUUCGGAAGAACACCAGUGGCGAAGGCGACUCGCUGGACAAGUAUUGACGCUGAGGUGCGAAAGCGUGGGGAGCAAACAGG